rnacentral:rRNA from 1 species
CAUGCAGUCCGAGCGGGGAAAGGUAGCUUGUACCUGACCUACGGCGGACGGGUGAGUUAUGCUUAGGAAUCUGCCUAUUAUGGGGGACAACAUUUCCGAAAGGAAUGCUAAUACCGCAUACGCUCUACGGGGGAAAGCAGGGGAUCUUCGGACCUUGCGCUAAUAGAUGAGCCUAAGUCAGAUUAGCUAGUUGGUGGGGUAAAGGCCUACCAAGGCGACGAUCUGUAGCGGGUCUGAGAGGAUGAUCCGCCACACUGGGACUGAGACACGGCCCAGACUCCUACGGGAGGCAGCAGUGGGGAAUAUUGGACAAUGGGCGAAAGCCUGAUCCAGCCAUGCCGCGUGUGUGAAGAAGGCCUUUUGGUUGUAAAGCACUUUAAGCGAGGAGGAGGCUACUUAGAUUAAUACUCUAGGAUAGUGGACGUUACUCGCAGAAUAAGCACCGGCUAACUCUGUGCCAGCAGCCGCGGUAAUACAGAGGGUGUGAGCGUUAAUCGGAUUUACUGGGCGUAAAGCGUGCGUAGGCGGCUUUUUAAGUCGGAUGUGAAAUCCCUGAGCUUAACUUAGGAAUUGCAUUCGAUACUGGGAAGCUAGAGUAUGGGAGAGGGAUGGGUAGAAUUCCAUGUUGUAGCGGUGAAUGCCGUAGAGAUCCUGGGAGGAAUACCGAUGGGCGGAAGGCAGGCCAUCUGGCCUAAUACUGACGCUGAGGUACGAAAGCAUGGGGGAGCAACAGGAUUAGAUACCCUGGUAGUCCAUGCCGUAACGAUGUCUACUAGCCGUUGGGGCCUUUGAGGCUUUAGUGGCGCAG